UNCGUGCCAGCAGCCGCGGUAAUACGUAGGGCGCGAGCGUUNUCCGGAAUUAUUGGGCGUAAAGAGCUUGUAGGCGGUUGGUCGCNUCUGCUGUGAAAGGCUGGGGCUUAACCCCGGUUUUGCAGUGGGUACGGGCUAACUAGAGUGCAGUAGGGGAGACUGGAAUUCCUGGUGUAGCGGUGGAAUGCGCAGAUAUCAGGAGGAACACCGAUGGCGAAGGCAGGUNUCUGGGCUGUAACUGACGCUGAGAAGCGAAAGCAUGGGGAGCGAACAGGAUUAGAUACCCUGGUAGUCCAUGCCGUAAACGUUGGGCACUAGGUGUGGGGGACAUUCCACGUUUUCCGCGCCGUAGCUAACGCAUUAAGUGCCCCGCCUGGGGAGUACGGCCGCAAGGCUAAAACUCAAAGAAAUUGACGGGGGCCCGCACAAGCGGCGGAGCAUGCGGAUUAAUUCGAUGCAACGCGAAGAACCUUACCAAGGCUUGACAUAUACUGGACUGCGUCAGAGAUGGCGUUUCCCUUCGGGGCUGGUAUACCGGUGGUGCAUGGUUGUCGUCAGCUCGUGUCGUGAGAUGUUGGGUUAAGUCCCGCAACGAGCGCAACCCUCGUUCUAUGUUGCCAGCACGUGAUGGUGGGGACUCAUAGGAGACUGCCGGGGUUAACUCGGAGGAAGGUGGGGAUGACGUCAAAUCAUCAUGCCCCUUAUGUCUUGGGCUUCACGCGUGCUACAAUGGCCGGUACAGAGGGUUGCGAUACUGUGAGGUGGAGCUAAUCCCUAAAAGCCGGUCUCAGUUCGGAUUGGGGUCUGCAACUCGACC
rnacentral:rRNA from 1 species